ACGUUAGCGGCGGACGGGUGAGUAACACGUGGGUAACCUACCUAUAAGACUGGGAUAACUUCGGGAAACCGGGGCUAAUACCGGAUAACACAUGAAACCGCAUGGUUUCAUGAUGAAAGACGGUUUUGCUGUCACUUAUAGAUGGACCCGCGGCGUAUUAGCUAGUUGGUAAGGUAACGGCUUACCAAGGCAACGAUACGUAGCCGACCUGAGAGGGUGAUCGGCCACACUGGAACUGAGACACGGUCCAG
rnacentral:rRNA from 1 species